CCUACGGGAGGCUGCAGUGAGGAAUAUUGGUCAAUGGGCGGAAGUCUGAACCAGCCAAGUAGCGUGCAGGAUGACGGCCCUACGGGUUGUAAACUGCUUUUAUACGGGAAUAACGUGCCUUACGUGUAGGUUUUUGCAUGUACCGCAUGAAUAAGGACCGGCUAAUUCCGUGCCAGCAGCCGCGGUAAUACGGAAGGUCCGGGCGUUAUCCGGAUUUAUUGGGUUUAAAGGGAGCGUAGGCCGCAUGUCAAGCGUGCUGUGAAAUGCCCGGGCUCAACCCGGGCCUUGCAGCGCGAACUGGCGGGCUUGAGUGCGCGGAAGGCAGGCGGAAUUCGUGGUGUAGCGGUGAAAUGCUUAGAUAUGACGAAGAACCCCGAUUGCGAAGGCAGCUUGCUGCAGCGGAACUGACGCUGAUGCUCGAAGGCGCGGGUAUCGAACAGGAUUAGAUACCCCAGUAGUC
rnacentral:rRNA from 1 species